GAUGAACGCUGGCGGCGUGCCUAACACAUGCAAGUCGUACGAGCUCGAUCUUCGGAACGGGUUAGUGGCGCACGGGUGAGUAACACGUAGGUGACCUACCCCAGAGUGGGGGAUAACUUCUCGAAAGAGAGGCUAAUACCGCAUACACUCGGUCAUUCAUUUGGCCGAGCAAAGCUCCGGCGCUUUGGGACGGGCCUGCGUCCGAUUAGCUAGUUGGUAGGGUAAUGGCUUACCAAGGCUUUGAUCGGUAGCUGGUCUGAGAGGACGAUCAGCCACACUGGCACUGACACACGGGCCAGACUCCUACGGGAGGCAGCAGUGAGGAAUAUUGGGCAAUGGGCGAAAGCCUGACCCAGCAACGCCGCGUGAGGGAUGAAGGCCUUCGGGUUGUAAACCUCUUUCUGGGAGAAGAGACAAGGACGGUAUCCCAGGAAUAAGUACUCGGCUAACUACGUGCCAGCAGCCGCGGUAAU
rnacentral:rRNA from 1 species